UUUAGGCAAACGCUGUAUAUUUAUUAUAUAGAGGAAAGUCCAUGCUCACAAAGACUGUGAUGUCUUUAGUGUUUAUGCUUAGGGAAAAAAUAACCUAAGGCAGAAGAAAUUCUGACGGCGAUGAAAUAAUCUAAGUCUUUGAUAUGAUUAAAGUAAUCUUAAAGUGCCAUAGUGACGAUGUUUCUAGGAAACUAGAAAAGUGGAACGAGGUAAACCCCAUAAGUGAGAAACCCAAAUUUUGGUAGGGGAGUUUUAACGAGGGAAAUAAGAACUAAGUUAAAAAUCGUAAGAUAGAUAAAUGUUUGCCACCUUUUAGGUACAGAACAUGGCUUAUU
rnacentral:RNase_P_RNA from 1 species